AUUUAAGCCCAGUGCUCUCAAUGUUAAAGUGAAGAAAUUCAACCAAGCACGGGUAAAAAAUGAGAGUAACUAUGAAUCUCUUAAGGUAUCCAAAUGUCUCAUCAUCUAAUUAGUGAUGCAAAUGAAUGGAUUAACUAGAUUCCCACUGUCCCUAUCUACUAUCUAGCAAAACCACAACCAAGGGAAAGGGCUUGGCAUAAUAAACAAGGAAAUACGACCUUGUUGAGCUUGAAUCUAGUCCAAAUGUUUGAAAUUACUUGAGAGGUGUAUAAUAAGUGGGAGUAUUUUUAGGAAAAAAUGAAAUACCACUACUUUUAACGUUAUUUUACUUAUUUUGUGGGGUGGAGACAAGGCAUUUACCUUAUUUUUUCCCUUAAGACAGUUUCGAUGGGUCAAUCUGGGCAUAAGACAUUGUCACGUGGGGAUUUUGGAUGGGGUGAAACAUCUUUUAAAAAAUAACAUAAAAUAUAAUUGGUGUAUAUAGAACAUUUGUAUUUGGGAGAUCCUAGUGCACAACCACCCUUAUUACCUUUCCUUCCUAAUUUGUAGU
rnacentral:ncRNA from 1 species